AGAUGAGCCUGCGUCUGAUUAGGUUAGUUGGUGAGGUAAUGGCUCUACCAAGACUAUGAUCAGUAGGGGACCUUAGAGGGCAACCCUCCACACUGGAACUGAGACAAGGACCAGACUUCUACGGAAGGCAGCAGUGAGGAAUAUUGGUCAAUGGAGGAAACUCUGAACCAGCUAUGCCGCGUGUAGGAUGACAGUCUUUUAGAUUGUAAACUACUUUUACAUAGAAAUAAAAGUUACUACGGGAUGGUAACCUGAAGGUACUAUGAGAAUAAGUGUCGGCUAAUUUCGUGCCAGCAGCCGCGGUAAAACGAAAGACACAAGCGUUAUCCGGAUUUAUUGGGUUUAAAGGGUGUGUAGGUUGUUUAUUAAGUCAGUAGUGAAAGCUUACAGCUUAACUGUAAAAUUGCUAUUGAUACUGAUAAUCUUGAGUCAGAUUGGAGCGUCUGGAAUGUAUGGUGUAGCGGUGAAAUGCAUAGAUAUCAUACAGAACACCAAUAGCGAAGGCAGGAUGCUAAAUCUUCACUGACACUGAGGCACGAAAGCGUGGGUAGCAAACAGGAUUAGAUACCCUGGUAGUCCACGCCCUAAACUAUGAUCACUAGCUAUUGGAAAAAUUAUAUUCAGUGGCCAAGCUAAAGCGAUAAGUGAUCCACCUGGGAAGUACGAUCGCAAGAUUGAAACUCAAAGGAAUUGACGGGGUUUCGCACAAGCGGUGGAGCAUGUGGUUUAAUUCGAUGAUACGCGAGGAACCUUACCAAGGUUUAAAUGUAUUACGAAUAAGCUGGAAACAACUUAGUCUAUAAGACGUAAUACAAGGUGCUGCAUGGUUGUCUUCAGUUCGUGCUGUGAAGUGUUUGGUUAAGUCCUAUAACGAGCGCAACCCUUAUUGUUAGUUGCCAUC
rnacentral:rRNA from 1 species